rnacentral:lncRNA from 1 species
CUAGAGAUUGCUCACUUCCACUAUAGCCAUUCAAAGAAGAUUGAGUGGAUUCUUAGAAGAUAACAAUGAGCCGUUUCUGAUGUCGAAGUGGGGCCCACACAUGUUUGUGCCAACAUAGAAGAAGAGACAUCAGGAGGCCAGCUGAACGUGGGCUGCUGGACUCCCUCUGUGCUGUCCAAUGUCCUGACCUCUGCUGUGAGAUAAUGUCUGGAUUGAAGAGGCAGGGAAGGAGGUUCAAGAACAGCCCUGCUCCUCACUCUGGCCUUCCCCGUCCUUGGCGUCCAUUUGAAGGGCUUUUAUGACUGACAGACUGGCAGGAAUCAUUGACGUUUCUGAGGUUUUCGAGAGGUGUGGUAAAACUAAUUUCAGUGUAUCCUGAAAACAC